rnacentral:rRNA from 1 species
CGCGUGAGAAUCUACCUAGGUGAUGGGGAUAGCCCGGAGAAAUCCGGAUUAAUACCGAAUACGCUCUACGGAGGAAAGAGGGCCUCUUCUUGAAAGCUCUCGCGCCUAGAUGAGCUCGCGUAAGAUUAGCUAGUUGGUGAGGUAAGAGCUCACCAAGGCGACGAUCUUUAGCUGGUCUGAGAGGAUGAUCAGCCACACUGGGACUGAGACACGGCCCAGACUCCUACGGGAGGCAGCAGUGGGGAAUAUUGGACAAUGGGCGGAAGCCUGAUCCAGCAAUACCGCGUGUGUGAAGAAGGC